rnacentral:lncRNA from 1 species
GACGAUUUUUACUUUUACCGUUCAGGAGUUAUGGUUCUUGAAAGAUCGUAAAAUGGCGUUUCCAUUCACUUUAUUGCAUUUACUCAUGAACCAUUCAAUCUAAGCUUUUCAAAUUUUAAUAUGUUGAUACUGAUGACAAAAUGGAGGUCAAAUUUGAUAUUGACGAUUUUCACUUUCACCAUUCAUCAGUAAUGGUUCUUGUGAUAUUGCCAGGAC